AGUCACUGACAUUAGAUACCCCUGUAGUCCCAGCCGUAAACAAUGUGCGUUAGGUGUGUCGGGUAACCACGCGUUACUGAUGCGCCGAAGAGAAAUCGUGAAACGCACCACCUGGGAAGUACGGUCGCAAGGCUGAGACUUAAAGGAAUUGGCGGGGAGCACCACAACAGGUGGAGCCUGCGGUUUAAUUGGAUUCAACGCCGGACAUCUCACCGGAUAAGACAGCUGAAUGAUUGUCAAUCUGAAGGUUUUACAUGACUAGCUG
rnacentral:rRNA from 1 species